rnacentral:rRNA from 1 species
UACGGAGGGGGCUAGCGUUGUUCGGAAUUACUGGGCGUAAAGCGCACGUAGGCGGCUUUGUAAGUUAGAGGUGAAAGCCCGGGGCUCAACUCCGGAAUUGCCUUUAAGACUGCAUCGCUCGAAUUGUGGAGAGGUAAGUGGAAUUCCGAGUGUAGAGGUGAAAUUCGUAGAUAUUCGGAAGAACACCAGUGGCGAAGGCGGCGAUCUGGGUAGAUACUGACGCUGAGGUGCGAAAGCGUGGGGAGCAAACAGG